rnacentral:rRNA from 1 species
AUUGAACGCUGGCGGCAUGCUUUACACAUGCAAGUCGAACGGCAGCGCGGGCUUCUGCCUGGCGGCGAGUGGCCAACGGACGAGUAAUGCAUCGGAACGUGCCCAGCCGUUGGGGAUAGCCCGACGACAGCCGGAUUAAUAUCGCAUACGACCUGAGGGUGAAAGCGAGGGACCGAAAGGCCUCGCGCUAUUUGAUCGCCCGAGGUCGGGUUAGCUGGUUGGUGGGGUAAAGUCUUACCAAGGCGACGAUCCGUAGCGACACUGAGAGGCCGACCAGCCAAACGGAGCCUGAGCACCGGCCCAGCCCCCAACGGGAGGAGGCGGUGGGGAACUUCCGACAAUGGGGGCAACCUGGAUCAAGCCAGGCGGCGUGCGGAAAGAAGGCCUUCGAGUUGUAAACCGCUUUUGUAGGGAAAGAAAUCCUCUGAGCUAAUUCCGCACGGGAUGACGGUACCGAAAGAAUAAGCAACGGCUAACUACGUG